rnacentral:lncRNA from 1 species
CCCCUUUUUGCUGCCUUUCCAGGGAGAGCAGCAAGAGAAAGAAAGAGAGAGGCAAGCGAAAUUCCUGAAUGGAUAGACAGAUGCUACGUCAUCCGGAGCUGCGUCCUCCACUCCACAAGAGGCUAGGAGCCGGGAGAAAGAGGCAGUCCAGCGGCAGGGGCCACCAGCGCAGGCUCUCCUCCUCACAGAAGCCGGGAGCUGGUCAUCCAAGAAGAAGCAGCCUCGUUUGUUUCGGGUGUCAUCGUAGGUGUCCACCUUUGGCUUUGGGGGAACAGCCAGGUCUUGCUUACUCCUGCCUUGGGAAGUCCUUCCCAAUGUCUAACCAAGAUCUGUACCGCUGAAGUACCAGUUCUUUGACCCUCGGCUUGACAUGGCUAAUUUGAGAGGCACAGGGAGGAACUGACCUUGAUUUGGCACCCGCUUGCUUGUUCCUGAAAACUGAGUGAUACUGUCGCCACUACACAAAGACAUAAUCAGAGCCCCAAGUCACAGGACUGACCAAAAAGAAGAACCUACUUCACCCACUUGUCCUGGGUUCCCUCUGAGACGCUGUCUUGAUUGACUGAAAGAUGAGGCUAAACUCUAGCAAGUUGAGUGGCUCCUCCCAGAAUCCUUUAAGCAGGAUAGAAGUGGGGAGGCCCCAGCCUCCAGCCUGGGCAGCCCUUUAGACUGGAGCCGCCUGGCAAAGACUUUAUUUCAUCAUUGCUCCAGUGUCUGCAAGCUGUCCAUCCUGGCCAGCCCUGGUUUCCCCUGUGUCGUCUGAACUGAGAAUCUUCUGAGAUGGAAGUCCCAUCUCAUGCCUAAUAAA